rnacentral:rRNA from 1 species
UACGUAGGGCGCAAGCGUUGUCCGGAAUUAUUGGGCGUAAAGAGCUCGUAGGUGGUUUGUCGCGUCUGCCGUGAAAGCCCGGGGCUUAACUCCGGGUCUGCGGUGGAUACGGGCAGACUAGAGGCAGGUAGGGGAGAACGGAAUUCCCGGUGUAGCGGUGAAAUGCGCAGAUAUCAGGAGGAACACCAAUGGCGAAGGCAGCUCGCUGGAACGGUACUGACGCUGAGGCGCGAAAGCGUGGGGAGCGAACAGG